UACGUAGGGACCAAGCGUUGUCCGGAAUCAUUGGGCGUAAAGCGCGUGUAGGCGGUUCGGUAAGUCCGCUGUGAAAGUCGGGGGCUCAACCCUCGGAUGCCGGUGGAUACUGUCGAGCUUGAGUACGGAAGAGGCGAGUGGAAUUCCUGGUGUAGCGGUGAAAUGCGCAGAUAUCGGGAAGAACACCCGUGGCGAAGGCGGCUCUCUGGGACGGUACUGACGCUGAGACGCGAAAGCGUGGGGAGCGAACAGG
rnacentral:rRNA from 1 species